rnacentral:rRNA from 1 species
UACGUAGGGUGCAAGCGUUUGUCCGGAAUUAUUGGGCGUAAAGAGCUCGUAGGCGGUUUGUCGCGUCUGCUGUGAAAUCCGGAGGCUCAACCUCCGGCCUGCAGUGGGUACGGGCAGACUAGAGUGCGGUAGGGGAGAUUGGAAUUCCUGGUGUAGCGGUGGAAUGCGCAGAUAUCAGGAGGAACACCGAUGGCGAAGGCAGAUCUCUGGGCCGUAACUGACGCUGAGGAGCGAAAGCAUGGGGAGCGAACAGG